AAUCACAAAACGGAUUUUGACAACAGCGCGAGCGGUUUAGAAAAACAUCAGAAGGCAACGUGUCACCAAAUUGGAACAUUCUAGAUUCUAGAAGACGAAAACUAGCAUUAUAUAACGGUACAUUUUUGACUGUGCGUGAAUAGAUUUUCAGACAACGACCGAGCGUUUUCUAAAAGUAACGAUCUUACAAGUAGAAGACAAUAUAUUUCGAUAACUAAAUGGAAACAUUCUAGAAGAAGAAAAUUGACAUUGUAUAGCGAGGCACAUCUUUGUCUAGUGUGAAUAGAUUUUCAGACAACGAUCGUUUUCUAAAAGUUAUGACUUUACAAGCGGAAGACAAUGUAUUUCGAGAAAGUGCACGAUGUAUCUCCAAACUAUCCUAUAUCUUAUAGAUAUAAAAGUUGCAUAUGACGAAAUCUCUUAGAAGACAAGUGGUGCAUAUACAUUAUGAUAUAGAGAUCGAUGAGGGGCUGAUGCGCAAAAUAUAAAAAUAUUAAUCACAUGAGAACACACAACACGUGACAAUGAUGAGAGAAUGAUGAUCAAAGAUGGUGUAAAACCCAGACAGACACAUUUAACCACUCAUUUUUUUAAGUGUCUUCCUCGCAAGAAAGAUACAUGAAAAAAAAAUUGCCCUUUCUUCUCCACAUUCCUGGAAAUACUUCAAUGAUGUUGACGCGUCAUUAGAAUUCUAAUGCAAGCUUAUGGCUACGGUGUUCCUCAAUUUACAAAUACGCUUUGCACACUACGGAAAAUAUUACUAUACAGUCAAGCUGCUCCUCUAUAGUGUAGUCUCAAAAUUUUCGAUUCUCUAUUCUAUAAUCCUUCGGAUUAGGUAGUAAAAGUUUCGUACUUCUUCUGGUUUAGUGAGAAUAGUCGAACGGACAGUAAUAGUGACAAGCAGGUAAAAAAAAAAAAAAAAAAAUUUCUUCCUCUGCCAUAUGCUUAGCAAAUGAUUCAGUUCAUUGUGUAUAGAAAAAGAGACACUUCCCAUCAUUUUUGUUCUCAGUUUUGCGUGUCUUUGAAUUUUCGGUAUUUUUUGCUUCUCUCACCCACAUCUAUUCCCACCUUAUUUCUCGGUUAUCUACAAAAAAUUUAACUUAUUGUUAGAAGAGUUCGACUGACUAUAGAGGACUUGCUCGAUGCCGAUGAGUCGAGAUUAAAGGCUAACAACAUAUAUCUCCCCUAACUAUUAAUAUACGAUAUUAAUAUAAUACAACCGAAUAUAUGUAUAACAAUGGCGCAAUUCCGUGUGACGGAAACUUAGAAUAUUGUUAAAGCAAAGUUAUUAUGCGAUGACAUAUGCGUGGACGAUAAUAUGACAUUUGCAAUGUUAACAUAUUCACACAUAAUGGCAUUACUUUCAACAAUAAUUUUUUCAAUAAAAAAAAAUCAGUGUAUCUUAAA